UAAAUAGUAGAAUUCCGCCAAAAAUCAAUUAGCGGCAAAGUAUUGCUUGAACGAUGCCUUCUCAUCACAAGAUCAAAUCGACAGCCUCCCGGCAUCAAUAUUUUAUAACGAAACGAGGUAUUCUCAUCUCGUGUCUUGACUUUUCAUUAUCGCCACAAGCGGAAGUUUUCCGUCUUGCAUGCCUGUAACGAGUCGGGCGUUCCCGUCACGUGCGUCUUGUCUCUCCUUUUUUAUACAGCUUAAAUUUGUCAUCAGCAACUUGAUAAACGACCUCGCGCGGCGAGGGUUCUGACGUCGUCAAGUUGCUGGCCUUCUCACGAUAGUAGAUCAAAAUAUCAAACGACUUUCGUCGUACACUCUCCGCCGUCGCCAUGAGAAUAAUAGAGCCAAUAACUAGCUCCGAGUAUGUGCGUCUCAUAGUAAAUUAGCAGCCAACAUGGAUGUAUAUAUGAUGCAGCUGACGGAACCAGCGAGUUGCUCGCUUCUCGAUGACUUGAUGCCGGCGUUGCUUCAGCGUAGACGUGCAGGAACAGGAGGUUUGCUUAUAAGCAUGCGGCUCUGGCCUGCAAAGAUCUUGGCAGGAACUGGUGUUGAUGCGUGGCGUCGAACAAAUAACAGGAGCCACCAUUGAAAUCGCCCCUUUCCCGAGCAGCAAGGCAUCGACGUAUACAAGCGCAUGCGGAGCGCAUCUUGAUUUUUAUAUGACUUGGCUUCAUCAUCAGCAACUUGACAACGACCUCGCGCGGUGAGGGUUC
rnacentral:lncRNA from 1 species